rnacentral:lncRNA from 1 species
GCAAACUCUUAUCUUUGGUGGCCAGCCAUCCAUUUCUUUGUUGUAAAAAGUAGCCUCAGCUACCAGCACAAGCCUAGCUCUCGUCUCUCUUUGCUAUUCAUUCACCCUUUUAAUAAAAAAGAAUGGCCAUUUUCUCAGGUUUUCUCAAUUGCUUCUUUCCUUGCUCAUCGUCACAUCAGGUCUCUGAUGAUGCGGGAGGCAGCUGCAACAAAGAGCCUUCUUCAAAGGACUCCAAAAAAGGCAAAUCAAAAUCAUCCUCAUCAUCAUCAUCGGGAGCUCCCAUAGUGGUUUCUUACUUUCCCCAAAAUUCAUAUCUCUCUCGGUUGUAAUUAAUUGCGUCACUAAAUAAUGAACCAGAGAUCGAUCGAAGCUACGUACCCGCUUUCUCUGAAACGUACUCUCUGAUAUAAUCUGAGGAGCUGGCCUGCAAGACACUCAUGAGUUGCAAGAAGCUUCUGUCUCACUGACGCUAAGAAAGGGAUGAAGAUUCGCAAAACAAUUAGUGCAUGGAAAUAGCAGUUGUUAUAUAUAUAUAUAUAUAUAUAUAUAUGAUUUGAAGCUGGAAUUGGGCGGAG